rnacentral:tRNA from 1 species
UCCCUGGUGGUCCAAUGGCUAAGACUCUGCACUCCCAAUGCAGGGGGCUUAAGUUCGAUUCCUAGUCAGGAAA